rnacentral:rRNA from 1 species
AUACCCUGGUAGUCCACGCCGUAAACGAUGAGUGCUAAGUGUUGGGGGGUUUCCGGUCCCCUCCAGUGCUGCAGCUAACGCAUUAAGCACUCCGCCUGGGGAGGUACGACCGCAAGGUUGAAACUCAAAGGAAUUGACGGGGACCCGGCACAAGCGGUGGAGCAUGUGGUUUAAUUCGAAACAACGCGAAGAACCUUACCAGGUCUUGACAUCCCGCUGACCGCUUAGGAGACUAAGCUUUCCCUUCGGGGACAGCGGUGACAGGUGAUGCAUGGUUGUCGUCAGCUCGUGUCGU